CUCGCCUGCCCCACUACCCCCGAGAUUCGCGCGCUUGCCUCCCUGCGGCCGGGAUCGCCCCACCCAGGCCCUCGAUCUGUCCACUGGGGGCGCGCGCAGUGCGUGGCAGGCGGUAGCGGCGCUGGCGGCUGAGAACGCGGGUCGUGCGGCGGAGCGUGGUUGCUAGGGGCGCCUGAGUCCGCCUGCCUGUCCCGCAGGCCAAAGGAGGAAGUCGCGCGGAGCCGGCGCGGAGUCGGGCGAAGCGGAUCCACUAGUGCCUAUAGAAAAAGACGCUCCUAAACUGUAGAGAUUCAAACGAUUCUGAGGUCCUGUGGAAUCUAACUCUUCAUUUAUCCAACCCUUCAUUUAAUCAUUCAACAAUUUAAAAGAAAAAUCAGUAACUAUUUAAUGAGCCAGGGCACCAUGGAAAGCGCUGGGAGGAUACGGUGGUCUACGAGACAGGUGUGUUCACGGAGUUUGUAGUCUGGGGAGGUUUUAAUCACUUAAACAAGCAUUUGCCAUACUG